rnacentral:rRNA from 1 species
UACGGGGGGGGCAAGCGUUGUUCGGAAUUACUGGGCGUAAAGGGCUCGUAGGCGGCCAAGUAAGUCAGACGUGAAAUCCCUCGGCUUAACCGGGGAACUGCGUCUGAUACUGGAUGGCUAGAGGUUGGGAGAGGGAUGCGGAAUUCCAGGUGUAGCGGUGAAAUGCGUAGAUAUCUGGAGGAACACCGGUGGCGAAGGCGGCAUCCUGGACCAAUUCUGACGCUGAGGCGCGAAAGCCAGGGGAGCGAACGGG